CCUACGGGUGGCUGCAGUGGGGAAUAUUGGACAAUGGGGGCAACCCUGAUCCAGCCAUGCCGCGUGUGUGAAGAAGGCCCUCGGGUUGUAAAGCACUUUCAGUGAGGAAGAACGCCUGGUGGUUAAUACCCAUCAGGAAAGACAUCACUCACAGAAGAAGCACCGGCUAACUCCGUGCCAGCAGCCGCGGUAAUACGGAGGGUGCGAGCGUUAAUCGGAAUUACUGGGCGUAAAGCGCGCGUAGGUGGCUUGAUAAGCCGGUUGUGAAAGCCCCGGGCUCAACCUGGGAACGGCAUCCGGAACUGUCAAGCUAGAGUGCAGGAGAGGAAGGUAGAAUUCCCGGUGUAGCGGUGAAAUGCGUAGAGAUCGGGGGGAAUACCAGUGGCGAAGGCGGCCUUCUGGACUGACACUGACACUGAGGUGCGAAAGCGUGGGUAGCAAACAGGAUUAGAUACCCGGGUAGUC
rnacentral:rRNA from 1 species